rnacentral:piRNA from 1 species
UGGGUAGAUUUUCAGCAGUGAUGGGCUGGC